GGACCACAACUCCCAGGAGGCAUCGUGAUGUUGCCCGCGCAGCCUUACUUCCUGCCAGGCCGUUUCCUGGGUAACAGCGGCUCGGCCUGUCUGGGAAGUUUAAGGUAGGAGGAGCUUGUGGGCUGCCUGGAGAGCUUUGGGAGUAGCUUAUUUUAACCCGUCGCAAGAACGCGGCAGGGCUGCAGCAGAGAAACCGCUGCCUAGUUGUGCCCAGACUCUGCUUUUCUGAACGGGGAGAUGGUUCUUUGCACCUCACUUCAGGCAGGACCAGCACAGGUGCUUCGCGGCUUGCUCUUGUUUAUUGUCUUUCGGCCCCUUCUGGAAUGUGCUACAGCAUGUCCAUAUGGGGAUGAGAAGAGAGGACAAAUGGAGGCAUAAGGAAGUGGAACUGGCUCCUUGAGUGGGCUUGUGUGUCCUGUGCUCAAGGGAGACAUGGCCCUGGGAGAAGAGCAUAGCUCCUCCGGAACAGACAAAGACGGAUAGGACUUGCUUAAUAUGCCACAGUGGCUCUUUGUUAGUGAUGAUGAUAAUACUAACAAUUACAGCAAUGAAAAUAGUUGGGAGGCCUUUGUAUUCAUUCAUAAAAUGAGUCACACAAAUUCAGCAGUCCUUGAUUUUCUUUGAUGAAGUUUCCAACCAGCACAUUGAAGAGUACCUUACAGGUACAGAAUUUUUGAGGUCUCCAGCGAAGAAAGAGUAAUGACCUCAACCCCAACUUUCCCUGGAAGCAAGGUCCAGUUGGUCUAAAUUGGAGGAAUCCUUUGAUAAGGAUGAUGGAAAAUCCUCUACCUGUUUAUUCACUGUAAAGUCGUAUUGCCAUUCAAAGUUUGCAGUACUAGUAGUAUUUUCAUGAACAAAAACCUCUGUCCCCUUCUCUCUGUUCCCUUGUCAGUCCCACUACCAUGAGUCCCAUCACUGUUACUCAUGCAAGAAAAAAAUAGCAGUAACUUCCGUUUAUGAAGUGGUAGUAGGCGCUGUCCCUCAAAUCUUUCACAAUAGCCCUAUGCAGUAGAUAGUAUCAGCUCCUGUUAAUCGUGGAAAAUGAGGCUUAUAGAGCUUAGGUCAGGGUCUGAAGUCACAUCUCAGAAGUAUCAGAGCCAGAAUUAAAAUCCAAGUCUGUGUGACUCCAAAGUCUUUGCUUUUUUUUUUUUUUNNNNNNNNNNNNNNNNNNNNAACAGAGGGAGAGGGAGAAGCAGACUCCCUGCUGAGCAAGGAGCCCGAUGUGGGACUCAAUCCCAGGAUGCUGGGAUCAUGACUUGAGCCGAAAGCAGCUGCUUAAUCAACUGAGCCACCCAAGCAUCCCAAGUCUUUGCUCUUGAUGAGAAUUUCAUGUCAUGCCACCUGCCCUUCUGAAUGAAAAGUUUCACUGGUGUAGAUAUAUGCAUGUUUCCCUCCAAUUCUCAUUUAUUGCAAGGACCACAUUUUGACAUAAUAAAGGAACUCAGAAGGAUAAAAAUAAUUCAGGGUUCCAACACCCUGUUGUAGCAACUGUUUCAUUUUUAUCCAUUUCCUUUUGAUCUUUAUCCAUAUGUACAUGUUUUACGUAGUUGUAGAUAUAAUUUUGUAUUCUGCCGCUAUGGUUAAUAUGAUACCAGGCAUUUUCCUUCCUGCUAUUUGGUUUUUAAUGGACGCGUAAUACUCCAUUUUCUUAAAGUGCCAUGAUUUCAUUAACCAUUCCCCACAAUGGACCAAGUUCUUUCCAUGUUUUGAGUUGUAGAAACUCUACUGUAGCAAACAAUUUGAUUUCUGCCCCCUCCUCCCAUCUUUUCUAAUUUUUUUAAGAGAACCAGUUCCUAGGAGUGACAUUACAAAACAAGAAUUUGAACACGUUUAUGGCUUUGAUACUUUAAAAACGAGUCAAAUUAAUAAAGUUUGUACCUCUGAUGAUAGUAAACAGAUAGUCUAAUCCACAAUAAUAGAUUAAUUACAUUAAUUAUUGUUUAGGGGAACCAAAUUAAUGACAAAUGUAGAGUAAUUGCUUGUGAGUACAGGGUUUCUUUUCGGGGUGGUGAAAUGUUCUGGAAGUAGGUGGUGGUGAUGGUUGUAUAGCUUUGUGACAAUACUAGAAACACUGAAUUGUGUUUAUACUUGAAAAAGGUCAAUGGUAUGUUAUGUGAAUUAUAUCUCAAUAAAGCCACUAUAAAGAAUUAAAAACAAAGUUUCUGAUAUUCCAAGUAAUGGUUUCAACCAUUGCUAUCAAUGUU
rnacentral:lncRNA from 1 species